AUACGGAGGGUGCGAGCGUUGUUCGGAAUUACUGGGCGUAAAGGGCGCGUAGGCGGCCCGGCAAGUCUGGUGUGAAAGCCCGGGGCUCAACCUCGGAAGUGCACCGGAAACUGCAGGGCUUGAGUCCGGAAGAGGAGGGCAGAAUUCCCGGUGUAGGGGUGAAAUCCGUAGAUAUCCGGAGGAACACCAGUGGCGAAGGCGGCUCACUGGCUCGAUUCUGACGCUGAGGUGCGAAAGCGUGGGGAGCAAACAGGAUUAGAAACCCUAGUAGUCC
rnacentral:rRNA from 1 species